rnacentral:tRNA from 1 species
GCGAGGAUGGCGGAAUUGGCAGACGCACUGGAUUUAGGAUCCAGCCCCGCUCAGGGAUGGGGGUUCAAAUCCCCCUCCUCGCA